UGGACCGGAGCGUCGAAUGUACAGGAAGCAUCCAAGCUAUGAUCUCUGCCUUUGAAUGUGUUCAUGAUGGUUGGGGUGUCGCCGUGCUAGUCGGUGUUCCAAAUAAAGAUGAUGCAUUCAAAACCCAUCCUAUGAAUUUCUUAAAUGAGAGGACUCUGAAGGGUACCUUCUAUGGAAACU